rnacentral:rRNA from 1 species
CAGCAGCCGCGGGAAUACGAAGGGUGCAAGCGUUAAUCGGAAUUACUGGGCGUAAAGCGUGCGUAGGCGGUGAGUUAAGUCUGCUGUGAAAUCCCCGGGCUCAACCUGGGAAUGGCAGUGGAUACUGGCUCGCUAGAGUGUGUCAGAGGAUGGUGGAAUUCCCGGUGUAGCGGUGAAAUGCGUAGAGAUCGGAAGGAACAUCUGUGGCGAAGGCGACUAUCUGGGCCAACACUGACACUGAGACACGAAAGCGUGGGGAGCAAACAGGAUUAGAUACCCCGGUAGUCCCUGUCUCUUAUAC